rnacentral:rRNA from 1 species
UACGUAGGGGGCAAGCGUUGUCCGGAUUUAUUGGGCGUAAAGAGCGUGUAGGCGGUUUGGUAGGUCCGCUGUGAAAACUCGAGCUCAACCUCGAGACGCCGGUGGAAACCAUCAGACUAGAGUCCGGAAGAGGGAGAGUGGGAAUUCCCGGUGUAGCGGUGGAAAUGCGCAGAUAUCGGGAAGAACACCCGUGGCGAAGGCGGCUCUCGUGGGACGGUACUGACGCUGAGACGCGAAAGCGUGGGGAGCGAACGAGG